GACGAACGCUGGCGGCGUGCUUAAUACAUGCAAGUCGAACGGAAAGGCCCUGAUCUUGUGGGGUGCUCGAGUGGCGAAGGGGUGAGUAACACGUGAGUAGCCUGUCCUUGACAUUGGGAUAACUUCACGAAACAGGGGCGAAUACCGGAUAGGAGCUCCUGCAGCACGGUGGGCGUUGGUAAGUUUCGGCGGUUGGGGGAGGACUCGCGGCGUAUCAGCUUAUUGGUGCGGUAGUGGCUUACCAAGGUUUUGACGGGUAGCCGGCCUGAGCGGGUGAGCGGCCACCUAGGGACUGAGAGACGGCACAGACUCGUAAGGGAGGGAACAGUGGGGAAUCUUGCCGGAUGAGCGGAGGGCUGAUGCAGCAGCGCCGCGUGCGGGAUAACGGCGUUCGGAUUGUAAACCACUUUCGCCUGUAACGAUGCGUGUGUGACCGGAAUGUAUUCAGAAGCACCGGCUUACUUCGUG
rnacentral:rRNA from 1 species